rnacentral:rRNA from 1 species
UACGUAGGGUGCAAGCGUUGUCCGGAAUUAUUGGGCGUAAAGAGCUCGUAGGCGGUUUGUUGCGUCGGCUGUGAAAUCCCGAGGCUCAACCUCGGGUCUGCAGUCGCUACGAGCAAACUAGAGUGUUGCAGGGGAGACUGGAAUUCCUGGUGUAGCGGUGAAAUGCGCAGAUAUCAGGAGGAACACCGGUGGCGAAGGCGGGUCUCUGGGCAACAACUGACGCUGAGGAGCGAAAGCGUGGGGAGCGAACAGG